UGGCAGCAGAGAUAAUAACAGAGAGUGGCAGCAGAGAUAAUAACAGAGAGUGGCAGCAGAGAUAAUAACAGAGAGUGGCAGCAGAGAUAAUAACAGAGAGUGGCAGCAGAGAUAAUAACAGAGAGUGGCAGCAGAGAUAAUAACAGAGAUAAUAACAGAGUAGCAGCAGAGAUAAUAACAGAGAAUAGCAGCAGAGAUAAUAACAGAGAGUAGCAGCAGAGAUAAUAACAGAGAGUAGCAGCAGAGAUAAUAACAGAGAGUAGCAGCAGAGAUAAUAACAGAGAGUAGCAGCAGAGAUAAUAACAGAGUAGCAGCAGAGAUAAUAACAGAGAGUAGCAGCAGAGAUAAUAACAGAGAGUAGCAGCAGAGAUAAUAACAGAGUAGCAGCAGAGAUAAUAACAGAGAGUAGCAGCAGAGAUAAUAACAGAGAGUAGCAGCAGAGAUAAUAACAGAGAGUAGCAGCAGAGAUGAGAGUAGCAGCAGAGAUAAUAACAGAGAGUAGCAGCAGAGAUGAGAGUAGCAGCAGAGAUAAUAACAGAGAGUAGCAGCAGAGAUAAUAACAGAGAGUAGCAGCAGAGAUAAUAACAGAGAGUAGCAGCAGAGAUAAUAACAGAGAGUAGCAGCAGAGAUGAGAGUAGCAGCAGAGAUAAUAACAGGGACUAGCAGCAGAGAUAAUAACAGAGUAGCAGCGUAGAAGAUAAUAACGAGUUCAGCUUCUAGGUGUUCCUUCCUGUUACCAUAGCAAGAUUUAUGUGAUGCCUCCGCUGAUCUGUGAGAGAUGCUGUGAGGUGGAGAUGUCACUAGAGUUUCACCUGAGAGAUGCUGUGAGGUGUAGACGUCACUAGAGUUUCACCUGAGAGAUGCUGUGAGGUGUAGACAUCACUAGAGUUUCACCUGAGAGAUGCUGUGAGGUGGAGACGUCACUAGAGUUUCACCUGAGAGAUGCUGUGAGGUGGAGACGUCACUAGAGUUUCACCUGAGAGAUGCUGUGAGGUGGAGACGUCACUAGAGUUUCACCUGAGAGAUGCUGUGAGGUGGAGAUGUUACCAGAGUUUCACCUGAGAGAUGCUGUGAGGUGUAAAUCAUCAUGGGUUCAUCAUCUGAAAUAGAAUAUAGAUCGUAUAUACAGUAUAUGUGUGAUAGAUUCAUCUGUUUUGACCACAUCUCACUACUGUAUUGCUCUUGCUAUGCUACUGUAGUAGCUGUAUAGUAGAGAUAGUGUAUAGCAUUACUGUACAGCGACCUCUGCUCUCCCCAGCUAAGUGGAUGAGAAAGAGUAGCAUUACACUAUUUUAUACAUUGAUUCUAAUAUGGUACCUAUGGAACAGCAGCGGUAGAAACUAGAGAUGAGACCCAGUUAACCAGAGAGACCUAUGGAACAGCAGCGGUAGAAACUAGAGAUGAGACCCAGUUAACCAGAGAGACCUAUGGAACAGCAGCGGUAGAAACUAGAGAUGAGACCCAGUUAACCAGAGAGACCUAUGGAACAGCAGCGGUAGAAACUAGAGAUGAGACCCAGUUAACCAGAGAGACCUAUGGAACAGCAGCGGUAGAAACUAGAGAUGAGACCCAGUUAACCAGAGAGACCUAUGGAACAGCAGCGGUAGAAACUAGAGAUGAGACCCAGUUAACCAGAGAGACCUAUGGAACAGCAGCGGUAGAAACUAGAGAUGAGACCCAGUUAACCAGAGAGACCUAUGGAACAGCAGCGGUAGAAACUAGAGAUGAGACCUAUGGAACAGCAGCGGUAGAAACUAGAGAUGAGACCUAUGGAACAGCAGCGGUAGAAACUAGAGAUGAGACCUAUGGAACAGCAGCGGUAGAAACUAGAGAUGAGACCUAUGGAACAGCAGCGGUAGAAACUAGAGAUGAGACCUAUGGAACAGCAGCGGUAGAAACUAGAGAUGAGACCCAGUAGUGUGUGUUAGUGAGAGAUAAUCUAAAAUGUUCUAGGUGUUUUACAUCUACUAUAUAUAUUUGACUGAGGACGAUCUCUGUAGUUGAUUGCAGCAUGAAAUCCACUCUGUCGGUCACAAGAAAAGCGAUUUGCUCGUCACAUUUCACUCUUAGAUGUCGUUAGCUAGCUACGUGUGGCGUAUGUUAGGAAUAUUUCUCGAUGUAUAUGUGGGGACCGUGAAAUACGAACAUAGUUUGUUUUCGUCAUGGUUCGUCAUCGAUCUGUAUCCCUCCUCGUUCAUUCGUCGUGUUCUGUAUGUUGAUGAUGCUGUGGGCAACGGUGCAUUGAAGUGCUGCUUUCUUUACUAGAAAUCACUUUUUAUUUUUACACUUUAUUUUAAUUUUAUUUUUUACUUUUUUGGAGAGUCUCUUCUGACAGCUAAAACACUUAAAGAGCUGUUACACAAGUGCAGUCAAUGAGUAGUUAAUAAUUGAUUACAGUGCGACGACUUUCCCCCCCUCCGUGUAAUAUGCACUCUUAUCACUAUUGGUAAAUCACUCUAAAUAUGUACUGUAUCAUAGCAGCCAGCUGAUAACAUGUCUGUUACUAAGCAACUUCAAAAUAAACCAGAUGGCUUAUUAAUAUUAUUAUUAUUAUUAUUAUUCAUCUGAGUUCAUUAUUUCCACCUUCUCCAUGUACAAAAAAAACAAUAACAAAAAAGUUUAGAGAGGAAUAAGAAUCAGGAUUUUUAUCGAAUGCAAUUUUAUGUUGUCAGGCUAUCAUUUUAAAGAAAAGGGUGCAUUUCUUCUCCAGAGUGAAAUGAACUGUAUAAAGUAUUUAUGCAAUUAUUAACUGGGUUUUUAAUUUUGUGUUUAUUAUUAUUUUUCUGUCAGGAAGUUGUUACGUGUUUUGUGUGGAUUAACACAACUGACUUUGUGUCCAGUUGCAUUGUACAUGUUUUAACUGCAUUAUUUUUAGGGUUUAUUUUAAUAAUUUUUUUCGUGAUUUUUUUUCUUCUUUUUCUCAACGCAUUUGAGUUGUUUUAAGCCAUUAUUAACCCCCCAAGCGAUAGGUCGGUGUACAGUUACGAUGGGAGUGCUGGAGAUGUGCCCCAACUCUGGGUGGCCUUUUUGUAUUCUUUAUGGGAGAAAAAAAAAUAAGGACUGAUCAAAUUUAAAUAAUGUAUUAUUUUGAUGGUCUUGUAUUAGACUGCAUUACUACAGUAUCUAGUGUGCAAUCUGUGAUGAUAGCUGAAUGUUCAUUGUAUAUAUGUGUUCAGUACAACAAUGAGAAGAACCGUAGAAUAACCCCUACAGAAACUGUAACAAUAAUACAAUAGAUCUGGUACGUAUCAUUUCAUUAAAUACUUGCUGUUUACCACCAAUUAGAGCUGUGUGUAUGUGUCUUUUAUUGGUAAUGUAUGUAUGUAGACCAAUGCUGCUGUUAUGUUGACACACGUUGAUUCCAGAGCCAUACUUUAGAAUGUAAUAUAAUGGGCUCCCGAGUUGCGCAGCGGUCUAAGGCAAGAGGUGUCA
rnacentral:lncRNA from 1 species